GUGUCAGCAGCCGCGGUAAGACGGAGGAUGCAAGCGUUAUCCGGAAUGAUUGGGCGUAAAGCGUUCGCAGGUGGCUGUUCAAGUCUGCUGUCAAAGCCCGGGGCUUAACCCUGGAAAGGCAGUGGAAACUGAACGGCUAGAGUGCAGUAUGGGUAGAGGGAAUUCCCAGUGUAGCGGUGAAAUGCGUAGAGAUUGGGAAGAACACCCGUGGCGAAAGCGCUCUGCUGGACUGCCACUGACACUGAGGGACGAAAGCUAGGGGAGCGAAAGGGAUUAGAAACCCUCGUAGUCC
rnacentral:rRNA from 1 species